rnacentral:rRNA from 1 species
AGUGAACGCUGGCGGUAGGCCUAACACAUGCAAGUCGAACGGCAGCACAGUAAGAGCUUGCUCUUACGGGUGGCGAGUGGCGGACGGGUGAGGAAUACAUCGGAAUCUACUUUUUCGUGGGGGAUAACGUAGGGAAACUUACGCUAAUACCGCAUACGACCUACGGGUGGAAGCAGGGGAUCUUCGGACCUUGCGCGAUUGAAUGAGCCGAUGUCGGAUUAGCUAGUUGGCGGGGUAAAGGCCCACCAAGGCGACGAUCCGUAGCUGGUCUGGGAGGAUGAUCAGCCACACUGGAACUGAGACACGGUCCAGACUCCUACGGGAGGCAGCAGUGGGGAAUAUUGGACAAUGGGCGCAAGCCUGAUCCAGCCAUACCGCGUGGGUGAAGAAGGCCUUCGGGUUGUAAAGCCCUUUUGUUGGGAAAGAAAAGCAGCAGGUUAAUACCCCGCUGUUCUGACGGUACCCAAAGAAUAAGCACCGGCUAACUUCGUG